AUCUUUCCCGAGUCCACUCUUUUUCGUUGGCACACGACCUCUCGAGUCUCGACGUUGCUAGACCAUAAAUUUUGGUGGUUUGACUACGGUUUCGGCUAGGAUCAUGAGCGAUUCUGGUCCCUUCUUGCCCUUGUAACCGCUGAUGGUGAUCAUCGAAGAUGGUGGUAAGAUUGAAUGAUCGAUCCCGAUAUCGAUCUUGUAGACCGUGUGCUUUUGCUUCGUUUUCAAUUGAUGUUCUAGAUAAUAAUACAUCAGGAGAAGUCCAUCACUAUAUGACAAAUUGGAAGGUAUACAGAAUUUUCCAAUGACUGAAAAAUCGAUAAUAUUUUCAAAAUUUCCACGAUAUUUCCGUUUUUUUAAGGUCUCGAUAUAUCUUUGACUUACCAAGAGAAUAUCGGGAGAAAUUUUCGAAAUUUCUGGAAAUAUUCGAAAUUUUCCCGAUAUUUCUGGAAAUAUUAGAAAUUUUGGCGAAAUUCCUGAUAUUCUCCCAAAAUUUCGAGAUUAUCGUCACCUCUCGCGAUAUGUGGCUCGUGAAAACUAGUUUUUGUCCUUAUCCAAUCCGACGUCAUCUAAAGAUAAAAACUUUAAAAAUUUAUAGGGUCAUGUAUCGCUCUUUGAGUCUUUUCCCUCCAUGCUUAUAAUUCUUCUAAUUAUCUAAUAACUAGUAAACAUUUGGCUCUAUUAGAAGAAAAAAAAAAAAACUUUUCUAUGUAUUUGAAGACUAAUGUUUUUUUCAACAUAUAUAUAUUUAAUUGUAAAAUAUUAUUAUAAUUAAUAAUUAACUCUCCUAAUCUCCAAUUUAAAUCAUUUUUUUGAUUUCUCAUGUAGAAUCUCAUACCUUUGUCAUGUCAGUGUAUCUUGUUAUACUCCAAAUUACUAUAAUAAUUAUACAAUUAAGUUUAUCAAACACUUUUUUUUGAAAUACUAUAGGUAAUUGAUCAUGUAAACAUUUCAUGAAAAUUCAUUAAUGAUUUCCAUGGUACUUUCUAAAUUUCCAUCAUUUUUUUCAAAAAUUUACUUGGAUCGAAAUUUUCUCGAUAUUUUCGUCGAAAUUUCUAUUUUUUGGACUAUCGACAUUUCCUCGAUAUGUUAGUCAUUGGAAUUUUCUAGGGCAGUUCCUACUAGACCUGCACAGGACUUGGCAUUUUCAGUUGCAAGGUUUAUACAAAAUGGUGGUUCUUUUGCCAACUACUACAUGUACCAUGGCGGAACGAAUUUUGGCCGAACUGCUGGCGGCCCCUUCAUUGCAACUAGCUAUGACUAUGGUGCACCUCUAGGUGAAUAUCGUAUGCAAAUAGGGGAUUAGCAUCUUGACUGGGUUCUUUGUAAAUUUUGGCUCAUAACCCUUGCUUUACACAUUUAACAUUUUCCUAAUGUUGAAUGUUAAACAUUUCCCUAAUGUUAAAUGUGUAAAGUAAGGCCCCGUUUGGUUGGCCGGAAUGUCGAAACAGGAAAAUGAUUUAUUUUCCUUUCCAAACUGAUAUGGAAUGGAAUAGGUUUUGGAAUUUCCAUGUGGGUGUUUGGAACAUAUUGGAAAUUAAAUUCUGGAAUUAAUUUUUCCAUUCCUAUCGUAGUGUUUGGUAAGUCAUAAGAAUGAAAUAGA